CGAAAUGCGAUACGUAAUGUGAAUUGCAGAAUUCAGUGAAUCAUCGAGUCUUUGAACGCACAUUGCGCCCCCUGGUAUUCCGGGGGGCAUGCCUGUCCGAGCGUCAUUGCUGCCCUCAAGCACGGCUUGUGUGUUGGGCCCCCUUCCCCCCCCAAGGGGACGGGCCCGAAAGGCAGCGGCGGCACCGUGUCCGGUCCUCGAGCGUAUGGGAAGCAACUUUUUGUCACCCGCUCCUGUAGGUCCGGCCGGCGGCCUGCCCAACCCCAACCUUUUUUUCAACCAGGUUGACCUCGGAUCAGGUAGGGAUACCCGCUGAACUUAAGC
rnacentral:misc_RNA from 1 species